rnacentral:rRNA from 1 species
UACGAAGGGUGCAAGCGUUAAUCGGAAUUACUGGGCGUAAAGCGCGCGUAGGUGGUUCGUUAAGUUAGGAGUGAAAGCCCCGGGCUCAACCUGGGAAUUGCUUCUAAAACUGGCGAGCUAGAGUAUGGUAGAGGGUGGUGGAAUUUCCUGUGUAGCGGUGAAAUGCGUAGAUAUAGGAAGGAACAUCAGUGGCGAAGGCGACCACCUGGACUGAUACCGACACUGAGGUGCGAAAGCGUGGGGAGCAAACAGGAUUAGAUACCCCGGUAGUCCCUGAGCGGG